rnacentral:rRNA from 1 species
UACGGAGGGUGCGAGCGUUGUCCGGAAUCACUGGGCGUAAAGGGCGCGUAGGUGGCGCGGGAAGUCAACGGUGAAAGUUCGGGGCUCAACCCUGAAUCGGCCGUCGAUACUCCCGGGCUCGAGCACUGUAGAGGCAGAUGGAAUUCCGGGUGUAGCGGUGGAAUGCGUAGAGAUCCGGAAGAACACCGGUGGCGAAGGCGGUCUACUGGGCAGUUGCUGACACUGGAGGCGCGACAGCGUGGGGAGCAAACAGG